CGGUUUUCACCGUGAUCUGAGA
rnacentral:miRNA from 1 species